GAUGAACGCUGGCGGCGUGCCUAAUACAUGCAAGUCGAGCGAACAGACGAGGAGCUUGCUCCUCUGACGUUAGCGGCGGACGGGUGAGUAACACGUGGAUAACCUACCUAUAAGACUGGGAUAACUUCGGGAAACCGGAGCUAAUACCGGAUAAUAUAUUGAACCGCAUGGUUCAAUAGUGAAAGACGGUUUUGCUGUCACUUAUAGAUGGAUCCGCGCCGCAUUAGCUAGUUGGUAAGGUAACGGCUUACCAAGGCAACGAUGCGUAGCCGACCUGAGAGGGUGAUCGGCCGCACUGGAACUGAGACACGGUCCAGACUCCUACGGGAGGCAGCAGUAGGGAAUCUUCCGCAAUGGGCGAAAGCCUGACGGAGCAACGCCGCGUGAGUGAUGAAGGUCUUCGGAUCGUAAAACUCUGUUAUUAGGGAAGAACAAAUGUGUAAGUAACUAUGCACGUCUUGACGGUACCUAAUCAGAAAGCCACGGCUAACUACGU
rnacentral:rRNA from 1 species